rfam:Anopheles gambiae str. PEST chromosome X, whole genome shotgun sequence.
ACCUACCCUAGCUCUGUAUUGGGAUGAGAUCCGAAACCCUCCGUGGGAUAAUACAGGCUCUCCCAUCCAACUCCUAUUCCGACACGUCCUCGUCGUGCAGAGUGGUAACAUGUGCCUCCAUAUAUCCUAGCUUGUGUACACGGGCUAGAUCCAACCCCUUGGGCGGAUGGUGGCAUAUGGGGAACCAGGAGGGG